UUAUGACCUGGGCUACACACGUGCUACAAUGGACAGAACAAAGGGCUGCGAGACCGCAAGGUUUAGCCAAUCCCACAAAUCUGUUCUCAGUUCGGAUCGCAGUCUGCAACUCGACUGCGUGAAGCUGGAAUCGCUAGUAAUCGCGGAUCAGCAUGCCGCGGUGAAUACGUUCCCGGGCCUUGUACACACCGCCCGUCACACCACGAGAGUUUGCAACACCCGAAGUCGGUGAGGUAACCUUUAUGGAGCCAGCCGCCGAAGGUGGGGCAGAUGAUUGGGGUGAAGUCGUAACAAGGUAGCCGUAUCGGAAGGUGCGGUUGGAUCACCU
rnacentral:rRNA from 2 species